GAUGAACGCUAGCGGCAGGCUUAACACAUGCAAGUCGAGGGGCAGCAUAUUUUGUAGUAAUACAAGAUGAUGGCGACCGGCGCACGGGUGCGUAACGCGUAUGCAACCUACCAUAUACAGGGGGAUAAACUUUCGAAAGGGAGCCUAAUACCCCAUAGUAUUAUUUUAAGGCAUCUUGCAAUAAUUAAAGAUUAAUUGGUAUAUGAUGGGCAUGCGUGUCAUUAGCUAGUUGGUAAGGUAACGGCUUACCAAGGCGACGAUGACUAGGGGUUCUGAGAGGAAGAUCCCCCAACUGGUACUGAGACACGGACCAGACUCCUACGGGAGGCAGCAGUGAGGAAUAUUGGUCAAUGGGCGAGAGCCUGAACCAGCCAUGCCGCGUGCAGGAAGACGGCCCUAU
rnacentral:rRNA from 1 species